rnacentral:rRNA from 1 species
ACUCAAAGGAAUUGACGGGGGCCCGCACAAGCGGCGGAGCAUGCGGAUUAAUUCGAUGCAACGCGAAGAACCUUACCAAGGCUUGACAUGAACCGGUAAUACCUGGAAACAGGUGCCCCGCUUGCGGUCGGUUUACAGGUGGUGCAUGGUUGUCGUCAGCUCGUGUCGUGAGAUGUUGGGUUAAGUCCCGCAACGAGCGCAACCCUCGUUCUAUGUUGCCAGCGCGUUAUGGCGGGGACUCAUAGGAGACUGCCGGGGUCAACUCGGAGGAAGGUGGGGACGACGUCAAAUCAUCAUGCCCCUUAUGUCUUGGGCUUCACGCAUGCUACAAUGGCCGGUACAAAGGGUUGCGAUACUGUGAGGUGGAGCUAAUCCCAAAAAGCCGGUCUCAGUUCGGAUUGGGGUCUGCAACUCGACCCCAUGAAGUCGGAGUCGCUAGUAAUCGCAGAUCAGCAACGCUGCGGUGAAUACGUUCCCGGGCCUUGUACACGCCGCCCGUCAAGUCACGAAAGUUGGUAACACCCGAAGCCGGUGGCCUAACCCUUGUGGGGGGAGCCGUCGAAGGUGGGACCGGCGAUUGGGACUAAGUCGUAACAAGGUAGCCGUACCGGAAGGUGCGGCUGGAUCACCUCCU